rnacentral:rRNA from 1 species
UACAGAGGUCCCAAGCGUUGGUUCGGAUUCACUGGGCGUAAAGGGUGCGUAGGCGGGGUCUUUAAGUCAGGGGUGAAAUCCUGGAGCUCAACUCCAGAACAUGCCGUUUCGAUACUGAGGAUCUUGAGUUCGGGAGAGGUGAGUGGAACUGCGAGUGUAGAGGUGAAAUUCGUAGAUAUUCGCAAGAACACCAGUGGCGAAGGCGGCUCACUGGCCCGAUACUGACGCUGAGGCACGAAAGCGUGGGGAGCAAACAGG